UAGGAAUAGGUUAGGAACUAGUUUAAGACUAGGUAGGAAGUAGGUUAGGACUAGGUAGGACCAGAUAAGGUAAACCAGGUAAGGGCUAGGUAAACCAGGUAAGGGCUAGGUGGACCUGGCAAGGGCUAGGUAGACCUGGCAAGGGCUAGGUAGACCUGGCAAGGGCUAGGUAGACCUGGCAAGGGCUAGGUAGACCUGGCAAGGACUAGGUAGACCUGGUAAGGACUAGGUAGACCAGGAAAGGACUAGGUAGAUCAGGAAAGGACUAGGUAGAUCAGGAAAGGUAGAUCAGGA